AUUGAACGCUGGCGGCAGGCCUAACACAUGCAAGUCGAGCGAGCGGCGGACGGGUGAGUAAUGUAUGGGGACUGCCCGAUAGAGGGGGAUAACUACUGGAAACGGUAGGUACUACCGCAUACUAGCGGCUAACCCAGAUGGGAUUAGAUAGUAGGUGAGGUAAUGGCUACCCCAGGCGACGAUCCCUAGCUGGUCUGAGAGGAUGAUCAGCCACACGGGGACGGAGACACGGCCCAGACUCCUACGGAGGCAGCAGUGGGGAAUAUUGCACAAUGGGCGCAAGCCUGAUGCAGCCAUGCCGCGUGUAUGAAGAAGGCCUUCGGGUUGUAAAGUACUUUCAGUCGGGAGGCGUUACCGACAGAAGAAGCACCGGCUAACUCCGUGCCAGCAGCCGCGGUAAUUC
rnacentral:rRNA from 1 species